ensembl:lncRNA
AGAAAAUCGAUAUUUUUUUUGUUGUUUUUUGAACCCUGCCACUACAUAUGAAGUAGAAACACUGUAAAAUACUGCAGGGAAAAAAAUUACAGAGGUAGAAAUGCCAGCACUAUCAGCAUGUCGUCGUGAACAAACACGCAGUUUGUGCUGCGAGUUUCGCAGGAUCCCAGAAGAUCCCACAGGAUCCCAGAAAGAUCCCAGAGAGAUCCCAGAAAAUCCCACAGGAUCACCAAGAUCCCGUAAGAUCCCACGGGAUCCCGGAAAGAUCCCAGAAAAUCCCACAAAGAUCCCACAAGAUCCCAGAAAGAUCCCCAAAUCCUACAGGAUCCCACAGGAUCCCAGAAAGAUCCCAGAAAAUCCCACAGGAUCCCACAAGAUCCCAGAAGAUCCCACAGGAUCUGUGCUCCGAUGCUCACCUUUAAUUCCAACGAGAUACGGCGUGAACGUUUUCUGAUCAACUUACAUUCGAGGCCUUAAUUAAGGAUUAAGGGUCUUGCUUAUGAACCGAACAGUCGCAGCUUGUCGGUGCUGGGGUUUGAUAUGAUGUCCUUUCCCUCAACAAACCUCGCCUUCUUUUUCCCCUGUGUGUCCAUUGCUGCUGAUAUUUCACCUGUGUAUGUGUGUGUGUAUUCACUGCUGGUGAUGCUUCUCUCACCUGUCUUUAACAUCAUGUCACGACUGGACAUCUGGGACAAAUCUGACCCGCAGACACGUUCGGCAGACGGUCCUCCGAUUCGCACGUCGCACACCUAUUCCAGUCACAGGCAGCGAUCCUUCACCAAGGGCCGGUGUGAAAGGAGAGCAGACUGAUCCGAGUUCAGUGUAGAAGCGCGGCGUCUACCUUGGCCUCGGCUCGAGUGAGGAGUCGUUAAUGAGCUCUGGAGCAGAUGCUGCAGCUGGCUUCCCUCCUGAGGAGCAGGUGUAGCCGAACUACAUAUGCAGCAAACACACGUAAAAUAUUUAACGUCAUAUCUGCCACCUCCGCCAAGUGUUUUUACUACUCGUCACCCGGAG